GGGUGGAGCGGGGGAGGGGCCUGACGCGCCCGCCGCCGCGCGCGGGGGUUUGUUUAUUUUCUAGGUUGGUUGCUGCGCUGUCGCGUGGGUAGGGGUUCGCGGGUGACGUGAGUGCCCGGAGUUGGGGGAAAGGACCAGACCCACCUGCUGGAGAAGGGGAGCUACGGGGGCCGGGCAGGGUCCAAACGUCUCACGUAGGCGGCGGCGCCGCGGUCUUCGGGGUUACCGGGAAGAGAAGGGCUUACCCGGGGUAGGUGGAAGGACGGAGGCCUCCCGAGAGAAUAGGACUCCAGGCUAUUUCUCCGCAGUUCGGCGGCUUCACCUGAAUCGCGGAGAGCAGUUAGAGAGCCCUGCAGUGGAAAAGGGCCAGUGGAAUGUGGGGGCCCGAAUUCCCAGCCCCUCCGGGCUCGACCUCCAGUUAGUGAAGUAGGGUUGGUCCUGCAAACAAGAUUUGAAUAGAAAGACUGCAUCAUUUCUCUCUGGAUUAUGCAGAUGACUACAAGUCCCUGGAGUUGGCAGAACCACAAGAAAGAACAUGCAGGGAUGAAGGAGAGCUGCCCAUUGACCUGGAACACCCACUCUGGAUUAUUUUGUGAGCAAGAGCUAUUUGAAUCCUGGAACACUGUGGGGAGUGAGGGGAGCUAUAAUCUGCCUAUAAUUUGUUGUUACUUGGGGCAGCGUUCAAGAAGUGGUUCUUUUAAGAGACCCCUCAGAUCAAAUAAAUUCUAACAAUAUUUACCACUUUGGACUUGAAAAAUCAUACCUUGCUUUGUAUAUACUGUAAUAAGCUUGAAAACACAAUAAUACAGUAUGCAAAUAUUGUUUCAAGAUGCAUUUCUUUUGUUCUACUUUAAUUACAUAAGUAUUUACUAAUAAAUGGAGUUAUAAAUUUCCAAAAAUCCUAAGUAUAUAAGUUUUUAGAUGUUUAGUUUUCUACUCUUCUGUUGUGAAUGGUUCUGUUCCCUGGGCAUAUAAGGAUCUUGCUCAUUAUAACAAUGUCUGUGAGAUUGUUCUAUUUUUCUCUUUGAGUACUGUAGAGAUCACUCAGUGGAGUUUUGUGUAAUAAUUUACCAAUAGAACCUAAUACCUAAAUCUAAGUCAAUAUAUUUGGGUUCAGUUAAAUUACAAUAGUGACAAUUCUGUUGAUUCAUUGUGGACAUUCCUAGGA